rnacentral:rRNA from 1 species
GAUGAACGUUGGCGGCGUGCCUAAUACAUGCAAGUCGAACGGAGAUUGUAGCAAUACGGUCUCAGUGGCGAACGGGUGAGUAACGCGUUGGUGACCUGCCCCGAAGUGUGGAAUAACAGAUCGAAAGAGCUGCUAAUACCGCAUAAUAUCCAGAGGACUAGAUGCCUUUGGAUUAAAGGAUUUAUUCGCUUCGGGAGGGGCCUGCGUCCCAUCAGCUAGUUGGUAAGGUAAAGGCUUACCAAGGCUAUGACGGGUAGGGGACCUGAGAGGGUGGCCCCCCACAAUGGAACUGAAACACGGUCCAUACACCUACGGGUGGCAGCAGUAGGGAAUAUUAGUAAUGGGCGAAAGCCUGAACUAGCAACGCCGCGUGGACGAAGAAGGCCUUCGGUUGUAAAGUUCUUUAUUAUGGGAUGAGGAAGGACAGUACCAUAUGAAUAAGUCUCGGCUAACUACGUGCCAGCAGCCGCGGUAAGUCUGUAGUCGU